rnacentral:rRNA from 1 species
UAAGACGUAGGGUCCAAGCGUUAUCCGGAUUUACUGGGCGUAAAGCGCGCGUAGGCGGUCUGUUAAGUGCACAAGUGAAAGCUCCGGGCUCAACUCGGAAAUUGCUUUGCAUACUGGCAGGCUGGAGGGACGCAGAGGUCUGUGGAAUUCCUGGUGUAACGGUGAAAUGUGUUGAUAUCAGGAGGAACACCCAUGGCGAAGGCAGCAGACUGGGCGUUUCCUGACGCUGAGGCGCGAAAGCGUGGGUAGCAAACAGGAUUAGAUACCCUGGUAGUCCACGCCCUAAACGAUGGAUACUAGGCGUAGGAGGUAUCGACCCCUCCUGUGCCGCAGCUAACGCAUUAAGUAUCCCGCCUGGGGAGUACGGCCGCAAGGUUG